UUUUCUCCAGCUGCUACUUGUUGCUGUGAAGGGAUUUGGUGAAAGGAAGCUUUGGGGUGGCAACUCUCAGAUCGGAAGCCCUGCAAGAGCAGCAGACGUCGCAGGACCUGAACCCGUCCCACGAGCGGCAAGGAGGCCAUCCGUCCGUGGACCGCGCUUUCUGCCCAGCCCAGCAGCCUCUUCCUCCUCCUCCUCUUCCUCCCCCCCGGGGCAGGCUGGCCCUCCCUCGCCGCUGGCCAGGCCGGUGGCACUCGCCAGCACAGCACAGACGGACAGACUGACGGAUCUCCAAGCGGGAAAGCCGGGGUCGGAGCAGGGCUGCCGGCUCCCCGGUGCCGCGCGGGCGAGCGGGGGGAGCAGGGAGGGAGAUUAAAAACCGCUCAGGACUUGGUCCAGGUCUCUGAUGCGAUGCAACGUAGGGCAGAAGGGAGAGAGGCAGAAAGGACGUGAAAGAAAAGCUGUUUUAUUUCAGUGCAAAAGUAUCCACUUUAAAUACCCUUUUUAUUACAUUAUCUGCAUAGUAAUACUAAUAAUAGAUCUUGUUGGCAGUUCUAAUGAGGCUGGAGAAUAUAAAGUUUCCAAUAAAGUUAAUUGUUGCCUUUAA